ensembl:lncRNA
AUGGGAAAAAAUUGGGAUAAAAAUCCAAAUAAAAUGGGGAAAAAUUUGGGCAAAGUGGGAAUUGUCAGGGAUUGGGAAUUUCCCGGGAAUUCCCAACAUUCCAGGUUUUUUUGGGAAUUUCCCGGGAAUUCCCAACAUUCCAGGUUUUUUUGGGAUCCCCCAGGUUUACGAACAGGACGAGCUGAGCGAGCAAAUGGCGAGUUUGGAAGGGCUGAUGAAACAACUCAACGCCAUCACUGGAUCCGCCUUUUAAUUCCCAAAAAAAUCCCUCGGAAUUCCCGAAAUUCCAAAAAUUCCCGAGGUUUUGGGGUCGGGAAAUCCGAAUGGGAAAAAAAAAUGGUGGAAUUUGGGGGUUUUUUUGGGGAUUUAGAGGGGAAAUUGGGGUUUUUUUGGGGGUUUUUGGGGGGAAAAUGGGAAUUUUUGGGGUUUUUUUUGGGGGUUUUUGGAGGGGGAAUUUGGGAAAAAUGGGAAGAAGUUUCGUGGGAAAAUGGGGGAAAAAUCUGGGAAAAAAUUCCUGGAAAAAUGGGGAAAAAAUCCUGGAAAAUGGGGAAAAAAAAUCCUGGAAAAAAUCCUGGAAAAAUGGGAAAAAAAUCCUGGAAAAAUGGGAAAAAAUUCAGAAAAAAUGGGAAAAAAUUCAGAAAAAAUCCUGGAAAAUGGGGAAAAAAAUCCUGGAAAAAUUCCUGGAAAAAUGGGAAAAAAAUUCUGGAAAAAUGGGGAAAAAAUCCUGGAAAAAUGGGGAAAAAUUCAGAAAAAAUCCUGGAAAAAUGGGAAGAAAUUUCAUGGAAAAAUGGGGAAAAAAUCCUGGAAAAAUGGGAAAAAAUCCUGGAAAAAUGGGAAAAAAUUUCAGAAAAAAUCCUGGAAAAAUGGGAAGAAAUUUCAAGGAAAAACGGGGAAAAAAAUCCUGGAAAAAAUCCUGGAAAAAUGGGAAAAAAUUCAGAAAAAAUCCUGGAAAAAUGGAAAAAAAUCCUGGAAAAUGGGGAAAAAAAUCCUGGAAAAUGGGGAAAAAAAUCCUGGAAAAAAUCCUGGAAAAAUGGGAAAAAAAUUCUGGGAAAAAUCAGAAAAGAAUCCUGGAAAAAUGGGAAAAAAUUCAGAAAAAAUCCUGGAAAAAUGGGAAGAAGAUUCAUGGAAAAAUGGGGAAAAAAUCCUGGAAAAAAUCCUGGAAAAAUGGGAAAAAAUCCUGAAAAAAUGGGAAAAAAUUCAGAAAAAAUCCUGGAAAAAUGGGAAAAAAUUCUGGGAAAAAAGGGAAAAUUAUCCUGGAAAAAUGGGAAAAAAAUCCUGGAAAAAUUCCUGGAAAAAUGGGAAAAAAUCCUGGAAAAAUGGGAAAAAAACCCUGGAAAAAUGGGAAGAAAUUUCAUGGAAAAAUGGGAAAAAAUUCAGAAAAAAUCCUGGAAAAAUAAGAAAAAAAAUCCUGGAAAAAUGGGAAAAAAUUCUGGAAAAAUUCCUGGAAAAGUGGGAAAAUUCUUGGUAAAAAUUCUGGGAAAAAUGGGAAAAAAAAUCCUGGAAAAUGGGGAAAAAAAUCCUGGAAAAUGGGGAAAAAAAUCCUGGAAAAAAUCCUGGAAAAAUGGGAAAAAAAUUCUGGGAAAAAUCAGAAAAGAAUCCUGGAAAAAUGGGAAAACAUUCAGAAAAAAAUCCUGGAAAAAUGGGAAGAAAUUUCAUGGAAAAAUGGGGGAAAAAUCUGGGAAAAAAAUCCUGGAAAAAUGGAAAAAAAUUCUGGAAAAAUGGGAAAAAAAUCCUGGAAAAAUUCAGAAAAAAUGGGAAAAUUCUUGGGAAAAUUCUGAGAAAAAUGGGAAAAAAUCCUGGAAAAAUGGGGAAAAAAUCCGGGAAAAAAUCCUGGAAAAAUGAAAAGAAAUUCAGAAAAAAUCCUGGAAAAAUGGGAAAAAAUUCUGGAAAAAUGGGGAAAAAAUCCGGGAAAAAUUCCUGGAAAAAUGGGAAAAUUCUUGGGAAAAUUCUGGGAAAAAUGGGAAAAAAAUCCUGGAAAAAUGGGAAAAAUUCUGGGAAAAAAAUGGAAGAAAUUUCAUGGAAAAAUGGGAAAAAAUCCUAGAAAAAUGGGGAAAAAAUCCCCCCAAAAAUGGGAAAAAAAUUAAAAAAAAAAAAAGGGAAAAAUUCCCUAAAAAUGGGAAAAAAUCCAGAAAAUAAAAUCCCCAAAAAAUGAAAAAAAAUCCCUAAA